AUCACAAUGGCCUAGUGGUUUGAGUGUUGGACUAUGACUCUGGAGACUGGGGUUCAAAUCCCUGCUCAGCCA
rnacentral:tRNA from 1 species